GUCUCGUGUGUGUCGUGUAACUAUUGGUUACGUUGGUUUACGAAAAAGAUAGAAAACAUACGCUAAACUACUGCCGAAAAUCAACAUACUGGAGUACAUAUAGAAGAAAAUGAAAUAAAAGUUGAAGUUGUCUUCAUUUAAUGGUACUCGUCGGUGAAGGGUUGGUGGCCAUCAGUUGCAUCAGGUUCUACUGACGAUGAAGGACGCAAGAAGAGAAAAGGGAAACGUAUAAAACCGAAAACAAGGAGAUAUCUAUUUGUAGAAUCAACGGAAUAUAGCAAAUUUGAAAUUUACCCAUUUGAAUAUAAUACAUUUCUCUGUUUAGACGGCUUUUGUCAUUGGAAUUGGAAGAACUGUUAACUUAAUCAUGGGAAGAGUCACGAGAGCCUUCAUGAAUACUACAAAUGUGAAAUCUUUGCAGGACUCAAUGAAAAUAAAAAGAAAUAAAAGACGUUGACAAAUCAAUGAAUGGAGACAUAGUGGAAUCCAAGAUCAAGACUUGGCUGCGUCAGUGCCCAAAACAUGCACAGAAAAACGUCGAAAAUGACAUUGUGAGAAGAAACCAAGAAGUGUCCGACCACGAUUACGGCUAAGACAAAGAAUAACUUAAUUUAUUUAUUUCUAUUUUCUGUCCUGCCAUAGAAGUUUGCAAAUAUUAUUAAGUAAAUACAAUCUCAAAUUUGCUUUAAUUUUCGUUGUAGUUCUGUACCUGAAAAGGAAUAAUAUAUUUUAGUUUG